rnacentral:rRNA from 1 species
CAGCCGCCGCGGUAAUACGUAGGUUGCGAGCGUUAAUCGGAAUUACUGGGCGUAAAGCGUGCGCAGGCGGUUCGUUAAGACAGAUGUGAAAUCCCCGGGCUUAACCUGGGAACUGCACUUGUGACUGGCGAGCUAGAGUAUGGCAGAGGGGGGUAGAAUUCCACGUGUAGCAGUGAAAUGCGUAGAGAUGUGGAGGAAUACCGAUGGCGAAGGCAGCCCCCUGGGCCAAUACUGACGCUCAUGCACGAAAGCGUGGGGAGCAAACAGGAUUAGAUACCCGGGUAGUCCCUGUCUCUUAUAC